AAAGCAACGCUCGUGCCAUAGUGAGAUUUUAAUUAUUGUGUUUUAUAUGCUUUUUUCUGUGAUUUAUUUCUAAAUUAAAAUGAUGGUUUCAGUUGUAUUCGAAUUUAUUUUAUUUUAUGUCAAGACCCCGUUAUUGUGGAGUAAUGAAGCUAAUAUGUCAUACAUUAAUUUCACAAAUGACUAAAUAAAUAUUUAUGAUAAAUACUAUGAAAAUAAAGAAAGGAUGAAAGUUGGAGAUAGUUGAUCUAGGACCUCUCAUUUAUGUAAAAAGGAUGUUUUAAUCUUAAAGUAGUUAUCAGGGCCAGUCGAUUUUUCUCAUGAUGCCAAGUGAACGAGAAUCUGCAAAGGAUAUUGCAACAAGAGCUAAGUGGUUUGAAUUUAAAUGAUUAUCAUUAUCAAAAUUGAUGUCAAUUUAAAUGUUUGUUAUUAAAUCAUCCACAAUAGAUUAGUGAUCAGCAAUAAUUAAUGGAGCAUUAAUGCAGAAAUCAAAGCAUUAUGAUCAAAUUAAAGAAAAAAGAACGAAGAGAAAUUGGUAAAUAUAAAACGAGAAUCAAAUUAAUUAGACAGUUUAUUACAUCCAGUGUGCCGGUAUAGAAAUAUUAUACAAAUUCGAAGAUGUUUUCGAAAGAAUUACGAAACGUUAAAACUACAUGGAUUUUUUUCUUCUUUUUUCUUUCUUUUUUUCUUCUUUCUUUUUUUAAACAUGUACAUACAAGAGAGCGACGUGUAACGUUUCUAUACAAACACCCAACAUGGCGAGCAUAAAAGUGUGCGCACACAAAACGACCCGCCAUUUCUACCAAACGAACUGUCCUAAUUAUAAAUUCUAAUUUACCGGA
rnacentral:lncRNA from 1 species